CCUCAUACACUGUUACAAAGAGUCAAAGCCUGCACAACAGAAGAGGACCAGGAGAAGCUCAUGCAAAUUACAAGUCUGCAUUCACUGAACGCUUUCUUGCUGCCAAUUAAGACUGUAGGUGUACAGGGUGACUGUCGUUCUUACAGUUAUGUGUGGAAUCUCAAGUAAAGAUGAACCUGACUGGGAAUCUCUUAUUUUCCUUGCCAGACUUAUACCUCAAAUGUGUCAUAACAUUAACAGGGUUUGCUGGGAAAAUCAGCCAGAUGCCAGUGAUUUUGACCCCUUUACAUUUCGAUAGAGAUCCACUUCAGAAGCAGCCUUCAUGCCAGAGGUCUGUGGUUAUUCGAACCUUUAUUACUAGUGACUUCAUGACUGGUGUACCUGAAACACCUGGCAAUGAGAUUCCUGUAGAGGUGGUGCUAAAGAUGGUCACUGAGAUAAAGAAGAUUCCUGGAAUUUCUAGAAUUAUGUAUGACCUAACUUCAAAGCCCCCGGAAACCACUGAGUGGGAGUAA
rnacentral:lncRNA from 1 species